AUUGAACGCUGGCGGCAUGCCUUACACAUGCAAGUCGAACGGUAACAGGUUAAGCUGACGAGUGGCGAACGGGUGAGUAAUGUAUCGGAACGUGCCCAGUCGUGGGGGAUAACUACUCGAAAGAGUGGCUAAUACCGCAUACGACCUGAGGGUGAAUGCGGGGGACCGUAAGGCCUCGCGAGAUUGGAGCGGACGACAUCAGAGUAGCUAGUUGGUGGGGUAAAAGCCCACCAAGGCGACGAUCUGUAGCUGGUCAGAGAGGACGACAAGCGACACUGGGACUGAGACACGGCCCAGCCUCGUACGGGAGGCAGCAGUGGGGAAUUUUGGGCAAUGGACGCAAGUCUGAUCCAGCCAUGCCGCGUGCGGGAAGAAGGCCUUCGGGUUGUAAACCGCUUUUGUCAGGGAAGAAACGAGUUUCUCUAAUACAGAGACUUAAUGACGGUACCUGAAGAAUAAGCACCGGCUAACUACGUGCCAGCCGCCGCGGUAAAAC
rnacentral:rRNA from 1 species